rnacentral:lncRNA from 1 species
GCCAAGCAAGGAAGAGAGAGAAAGAGAGGAAGAACAAAGGGAAAAACAAGAAAACCUAGGUGAAAAUUCAAAGAAAAAGUGAAGAAAUCAAGGAAACAAGCUAGGUAAGUUAGAAUUUCUUUAGUUCUCCUUGAUACCUAGCUUACUCAUGCUUUUGUUCUUGAUUUUCAUGGUUGAAUAUUGAGUUAUUAUGAUGAAUUCAAUUCUGAAAAAUGGGUUAGGAGAGAGAAAAUUAUUAGAUUAAUUUCAUUUUAAGUUACGUUAGUGUUUUAAGUUAGUUUAGCAUAUUUAUAAACAAAACAACAAGAAAAGAAUUUAUUUUCUCCCACAACCCUUAAUGGUCGAAUUUACCAUGUGUUGAGUGAGGAUGAAUUUGAUUUUCAUUCUAGGAGAAUUGAUUAAGAAAUGAUGAAUUAUGAGCCUAGAAAAAUAAUGGAAAUUUUCAGAGCAAAAAUACAAAUUUUUACCCACUAGGGGUAUUUUCGUAAUUUGCUACCGAGACUGAUAAGUUGUAUAUCAUAUCAUGCAUAUAUACCGAGCCUAAAUUGAUUUUAUAAUGGUCAAGCAUUGAUGUGGUGAAUUAUGUAUUGUACAUUGUGGAUAGGUGGUGAGCAAAGUACACUGGUAAAAGUACUGAGAUUGUGCUUGGAGACUGGGAUUAGGAGUACAUCGACUCCUAGAACUGUGAGUGAACUUAUUAUCGUCUUAAUUAUCUAGAGUAGUUUUAUACAAUUGUGUGAUUUUAUGAAAAAUGAGUUUCAAUGGUAAAUUUCUAUGUUUUAGGAGAAAUUGCGAUUUUAUAAAAUGAUUUUAUAAAUUUUCUGAAAAAUUGAAUACUGGUUUUGAAAUAGAGUAAUUGGAGAUUGCCUGCUUAUGUUGCAAAUUUAUGGUUUUGAAUUGAAUGGCUUAUGACAAUAAAUGAGCAUGAAUGGCUAAACUAAUUUUGGUGUUAGAAUUAUUUGUACUGAGUAUUCGGCCUUGAGAGGCUAGGUUGCGAUAAAUUGCCAUGUCAUGCUAGAAUGAAUUUUAUUGAUUGGUAGAGUAUAUAUUAAUUAUUCACUGCAAAGGGGGUUCCGUGGACCAGCCUAUUAGAGGGGCACGGUAAAUUCCAUUAUAUUCUUACCUUGAACGGAGAUGCGCGUAGGGUAUCUCCUGGGGUAAAGCUUAGGGUUCACUUCACGCUAAACCACCACGUGAAAGGGAACUCGGCCAACGCCAAGGAACGGUUGUAUUUUUUUCAAAAUAAAAAUAUAUUUUAAGUGUAUACUAAAUUUUAACAGCCUUGGCGGGCUCGGUUGGAUGCCUUGGGCAAGGUAUCACCGAGUAUGAGUUUUGGCAUGAGCCAAAGUUUGAAGAAAUACAUAAGCCAAGUUGAUUACUCGAUAUUUAUGGAUUGAUUUUAUUUGGUUGAAAUGAGUUGAAAGGUAAUGAAAUUACAGUAUGAUGAUUUAUUUUAAUUAUCUCCAUUUACUCGACUUUAGAUAGUUUAGAUGUUAUCUGUUUACUCAUUGGGAUUUUAUAAUCUCACCACCCUCAUUUCCUCGCAUUUCAGGCUCGGGGAAUUUCAUAGUUAGCUGACUUUGACAAGGACCUUCAUUUGGACUCGAAUCGGUAAAAGCUGUAGGUUUCCAGCUUCCGAUGCAUUUUGAUUAGAUGUGGGCCCACGUGUCACUGUAAAAGAAAUUUUAUGCUUUGGUUAUUUGCUUUAUAGUAUAUAUGAAUAUAAUUAGCUUUUGCGCUAUAAGAAUU